UCCCUGGUGGUCCAGGGGUUAGGACUUGGCAUUCUCACUGCCGUGGCCCCAGGUUCAACCCCUGGCUGGGAAA